UACAAUUGGACUGUAAGAGGCUAUAAGAUGUUUAAAAAGACAUGAAGGCUCAUAAAAGACAACAUCCCUAGAUAAGAAAAUCAUUAGAUUGAACUUCAUACAACACAAAACCCUUGGUCCCUUAUCUAAGUCCAAUAAAGGCACACUUUUUAGCUCUAGGUGCAAAUUUGUUCCUAGGAGAUUGUAUUGUGUUACAAAAAUAAGGCAACCGAAGCCCUUUCAUUUCUUGAACUUAUUGUAUGUUUCACUCAUGCUUUGUUUCUAACAAAGCAACUCUUCGUUCACCUCCUUUAAUUAUCAUCAUCAAUCAUUACACGUGUAGCUAUCUCUUUCAUGCCUAUAUGUUUGUUCUGUAAUGUUAACAAUUUGGUAAGGGUUUCAUUUGAGGUUUCUGGGUUUGGAAGGUAAUUUUUCUCCCUUCCGUUAAUAUUUAGAGAUGGCAAAACGGGCCGCCCUUCCGUUUCUGGGUUUGGAAUGUUGUAAGUUGAAAUUAUGGAGGAUAAGAGACUUAAAAUAGCUGUCCUCUUACCCGUUACUGAUUAGGCCCUACAAUUCAAUCUCCUAUCCGUUAGGCUAUAAACGAAGUAGGUGGUGCAAAUUUCUUAAGGCUUUGCAAAAGCCUGAGACGGGAAGAGAUCAAAUUCAGCAUUAGAUAAAUUCAUUAGUAUGGUAACUACAUGAUAUCUGUUGAGGAUUACUUUUAUUAAGAUUUAAGUAGGGGUAUUUGAUUGAUGAAAAUUCAGAAAUAGCAAGGACAACAUAAUUUACUAUAUUUCCAAGUGAUUUAAAACCUGUUACAAAUCCAAUCGAAUCAGCAUGACUUGGAUGCAACUAAGUGAAAAAGAAAAUCAAACCACACUUCUAACAAUUUUCUCAAUAUUAGGAAGUAGAUUUUUAUGGGAGCAAUUUGCCUCAAUGCAUAAAACUAAUGAAUUGAUUCUAAGCUAAGAGAGGAAAUGUUAUGACAAUGUGAAUUCUGAAUACUACAAUAGUCAUGUAUUACUUGAUGCUAUUUUUGUUGCUUAAUGUUAGUUAAUGCUAUUUUUGUUGUUGUUAGGGUGAUAAAGUACAAGUUAUAGUGAAGAAUUAUCAAAUAUCACAAUGAGAGCCACAACUCUAGGACGACAUAAGUUACAUUGCUAAGAAUUUUGACAUUGUUCCUAAUGAGGGACAAUAUAGAGGUUCAAAUCACUAGUUUAAGUUAAUAUUCCAGAAGGGGAUAAUCAUGGAAAACAACCAACUCUCAGAAAUUCCUCUUUAUGUUUAUAGAUUUACUACCAUUGAAGACAUCUUAAAUGUUGUUGCUACAAAUGAUGUUUUAGUUGGUAAUUUUUAGUUUACUCUUUGCUUCCUCCUACUAUAUUUUAACCCAUUGGUUAGUUACGUAGCUGCUAUUUUGAUUAUGUUGGCCUUGGACAAUUGUUUUAUAGGUGUUAUUGGUGAGGUUGUUGAUAUGGAGAUGUGCCAACUAUAUUCCUUUCAGAAGAAGGUAUUCUUCAUAAUGUGAGACCAAAAGUAUAUCCAUUUUCAGUAAAUCAAUGUUUUCUAACUACCUACCGUUAGAAAAAAGUGUAUUGAAAUGUUUUUUUUUUUUGCAGGGAAAUAGUGUCAGUUGUUCUUUGUGGGACCAAUUUGCAUCCCAGCUACUUAAAUAUGAGGAGGAUCACAAAUUCGGUCCAAUUAUUGUGAUACUGAUGCUUGCAAAAAUCAGAGAAGCCAGUGGUAAGUUUGUAGUCAGAGCUUAUAUUUUACAGUCCUAUAUAGUCUACUAAUAUUAUUGUACAUAAUGUUUAGGAGGUUGUCCUCUCAUUAUUCAAAAUAUUAUGUAUGGUUCAAAGCUUGUUAUAAAUGACACCAAUAUUCAAUAAAUCCAACUUUUCAGUAGCAGGUAUUGUUAGUUAUCUGUUCUUCCAUUGACUUUUUGCAUCCUCUGUUUUAUUUAUAAUUGUACCUUGUCAAUUUAGUUAAUCAUAUUUUUUUGUUGUAGCUUGGACACUAGUAAAUCAUAUGGAUCAUACGGUUAGCCUUUGAGUCAGUCAUCUUCCCGCUCUCUAGGUGGAUCGUAGGACAAGUUCUUUCAUAAUGUUGUUGUCAAAACAAUUGGUGAGAUAUUCAUGUUACAUGAAGUUCUUCCAAGGUCUUAGUUUUAAUUGUAUUUCAAAAUGUCUCUAUUAUUUAUAAUGUACAUGUCUUUGAUUUUUAAAAAUUGAUUAUUGUUUGGCAGGUAUAGAGUAGAGGUUCGAGUUAGCUAUGGUGAUGACAUCAUGACGUUUGUUUUAUGCUUUGUGCUUCUCUUUUUCCACAACAUUAACUGUGACAUUCCAACCCCUUUCAUUAUUUUUAAACCGAUAAA
rnacentral:lncRNA from 1 species